rnacentral:lncRNA from 1 species
AGGAGGCAAAGUAUCUUGUGGAUAAUCAGCUAAGAAGCCAACUGAACAGGUGGUAAUGAAAGAUGCUGUUAAUGAGAACAUGGAAUAUUCCAGGAGAGAAUGGAGAGAAGGGAAAGAAAGGGUAGGAAUGUGGCUCCAUCUUGGUCCAAUUCCCACACAUGGAGUUUUGAAAGUUUGUAAUCGGGAAGCUGGAGAUAAAGGAAAAAACAACAACAACAACAAAAACGUGUACAGAUCAUACCCUUGCUAAGAGCUGGAUCUACUGUGAGAAAAGUUGAAGAGAGAUGGGUAUGAAGUCCAUCAUGGCCCUGGAAUAUCCUCCCUGUUAUUGUUAAUGGCUUCUUGAUGAUCAGAGACAACACAAGUCAGAGGGACGAAGAUGUGGCUAAUGUCUCAGCAAAAUGGAGGCUAUGGAAAAAAACUCUAAAAUCAUGGGUUCAAACGUAUAAUAUUUCAACUAUCUGAAAAUAUAAAGAUGCAAAUAUGAAUUAUAGAAGGGCCUUGACAGAUCUAGAGGAUCAGAGGCAGCUACACUGUGAGCCAAAUUGUCAGAAAGAUGGAAAGCUAGGCAGAUCUAAAUGCAGGCAGAUUCCUGAGUUCAAGGUCAGCUUGAAACAGGGCUAAUUCAGGCCCAGGUGUAAUAGAAAUGGUAAUUUCAGGACAGCUUAUUUUCUGUGCUUAUUUUCUGUGCUUAACAGAGGAAGGGAGAUUUCUGAAUUUCUGCAAUGUGAAAAGGAAAUAUGUGUUUGCUGUCUCCUAAGAAUUAAGAAGCUGGGGUCACGGGAUGCUGAUUCAUAGGAUCAUGAAAAGGAAUCCUGAAGCUUCUAGUCUUUCCAGUCUUGUUCAGGGAAGCUAAGAGGUGGACAGAGAGAGGUCAAAGAACGGAGAACAAAAGAUUGUGUACUCAUCCUUAAACCAUUCAUCUUUCUCAACCACUGCCCCCUUCCAUUACCAAGCCUCUGGAAACAUCCUAAAACAGGAACAGAGAUAAGCCAGGACCAGAUGAUCAAGAGGAGUGUUAUGAAAGGAAACACACAUUGAGUGUGUUAAUAUGAACUUGAAAGUAUCCCUGCCAUUGAGAAGAAGAACAAACUGAAAGUGUUGUUGAGUACAUGGAGAGACAAAAAUCGAGCUGGAAACUGUCCCUGAUGCAGGAAGAAGAGGAGACAGUGGCUAGGUCAAAGCGAGUGGAGAAGAUUUAGUGUCACUGAAAUCAAGAUAGAAGAAUUGCGAGGAAGGAGAACUGAGCUAUUUGGAUAGUUGAUGGGGGGUUGUUUUCGAUGUCAACCACAAAGAAGGCACAUUGGAGUUGUGGUAGUGAUUGAUGGUUUUCUGGUACAAGCUCAGUAGAGAAAAAAAAUUACUGGCCAACUGAAAGCAUUCUUUCUACAUUUUGAUACUGAAAAUAAACGGUGCUUGUGACUUCAUAUGAAGUAAA